rnacentral:rRNA from 1 species
AAAUUGAAGAGUUUGAUCAUGGCUCAGAUUGAACGCUGGCGGCAGGCCUAACACAUGCAAGUCGAGCGGUAACACAGGGAGCUUGCUCCCGGGUGACGAGCGGCGGACGGGUGAGUAAUGUCUGGGAAACUGCCUGAUGGAGGGGGAUAACUACUGGAAACGGUAGCUAAUACCGCAUAA